GUUUUCUAGACGCGCUGCAAAUGUAUCUAAUAAAACACAUUAAAUCUUGCUUAUAUUUAUUGAUAAUAAUUUCCGAUAUCCCUACGCCUCCUAAGUGGCAUUGCUAUAGGCCAAUGGGCUUUCUGCGGGAAACAGUUCAUGAGUCGCUGAGAGCGAAUGGUGUGAUAGAACGCUCAGAAGAAAAUGUGAUGGGGCCUCCAAUUGCCUCUUCUGCGCGGUGGCCCGCAGCAGAGGGAAGGGAAUUCGCAAAAACAAGACGGUCUAUACACAAAACAAAUUAAUGAUUUUCCUGUUUUGCAAGCUUUCCUCCAAACAGUAUAAAAAGGAUUUGAUCCGACUUGUAUCGGGGCACCCCAUGCUCUGGCAGACCAAUGACCCAUUCUAUAAUAAUAGAAGAAAGAUUGCCGGAGCAUGGGGGGAAAUAGCCAGGCAUCUGGCGACCACCGUGGCCAGAUGCCAGAAAGUUUCUCACCAGCUCCGGUACAAGUACCGAGCGAUCAGGGUACGUGAGCUGGCAGCGAUAGAAGAAACUGGAUAUCCCCCGACGUCUCCUAAGUGGCAUUGCUAUAGGCCAAUGAGCUUUCUGCGGGAAAUAGUUGAUGAGUCGAUGAGAGCGAAUGGUGUGAUAGAACGCUCAGAAGAAAGUGUGAUGGGGCCUCUAAUUGCCUCCUCUACGCGGUGGCCCGCAGCAGAGGGAAGGGAAUUCGCAAAAACAAGACGGUCUAUACACAAAACAAAUUAAUGAUUUUCCUGUUUUGCAAGCUUUCCUCCAAACAGUAUAAAAAGGAUUUGAUCCGACUUGUAUCGAGGCACCCCAUGCUCUGGCAGACCAAUGACCCAUUCUAUAAUAAUAGAAGAAAGAUUGCCGGAGCAUGGGGGGAAAUAGCCAGGCAUCUGGCGACCACCGUGGCCAGAUGCCAGAAAGUUUGGCACCAGCUCCGGUACAAGUACCGAGCGAUCAGGGUACGUGAGCUGGCAGCGAUAAAAGAAACAGGAUGCAAAUCCCAAUUCCCCUCCUAAGUGGCAUUGUUAUAGGCAUAUGAGUUUUCUGCGGGAAACAGUUGAUGUUUCGCUGAGAGCAAAUGGUGCGAUAGAACGCUCAGAAGAAAAUGUGAUGGGGCCUCCAAUUGCCUCUUCUACGCGGUGGCCCGCAGCAGAGGAAAGGGAAUUCGCAAAAACAAGACGGUCUAUACACAAAACAAAUUAAUGAUUUUCCUGUUUUGCAAGCUUUCCUCUAAAAAUGAAAAACGGAAACUUAUUCAACUUGUAUCGGGGCACUCCAUGCUCUGGCAGACAAAUAACAACUAUUAUAAUAAUAGGAAACAGACUGCCGGAGCAUGGGGGGAAAUAACCAGGCAUCUGGCGACCACCGUGGCCAGAUGCCAGAAAGUUUGGCACCAGCUCCGGUACAAGUACCGAGCAAUAAGGGUACGUGAGCUGGCAGCGGUCAAUAAGACAGGAUAUCCCAAUUCCCCUCCUAAGUGGCAUUGUUAUAGGCAUAUGAGUUUUCUGCGGGAAACAGUUGAUGUUUCGCUGAGAGCAAAUGGUGCGAUAGAACGCUCAGAAGAAAAUGUGAUGGGGCCUCCAAUUGCCUCUUCUACGCGGUGGCCCGCAGCAGAGGGAAGGGAAUUCGCAAAACCAUAUGCCUUCGCCUCCUAAGUGGCAUUGCUAUAGGCCAAUGAGCUUUCUGCGGGAAAUAGUUGAUGAGUCGAUGAGAGCGAAUGGUGUGAUAGAACGCUCAGAAGAAAAUGUGAUGGGGCCUCCAAUUGCCUCUUCUACGCGGUGGCCCGCAGCAGAGGGAAGGGAAUUCGCAAAAACAAGACGGUCUAUACACAAAACAAAUUAAUGAUUUUCCUGUUUUGCAAGCUUUCCUCUAAAAAUGAAAAACGGAAACUUAUUCAACUUGUAUCGGGGCACUCCAUGCUCUGGCAGACAAAUAACAACUAUUAUAAUAAUAGGAAACAGACUGCCGGAGCAUGGGGGAAAUAACCAGGCAUCUGGCGACCACCGUGGCCAGAUGCCAGAAAGUUUGGCACCAGCUCCGGUACAAGUACCGAGCGAUCAGGGUACGUGAGCUGGCAGCGGUCAAUAAGACAGGAUAUCCCCCUUCGCCUCCUAAGUGGCAUUGCUAUAGGCCAAUGAGCUUUCUGCGGGAAAUAGUUGAUGAGUCGAUGAGAGCGAAUGGUGUGAUAGAACGCUCAGAAGAAAAUGUGAUGGGGCCUCCAAUUGCCUCUUCUACGCGGUGGCCCGCAGCAGAGGGAAGGGAAUUCGCAAAAACAAGACGGUCUAUACACAAAACAAAUUAAUGAUUUUCCUGUUUUGCAAGCUUUCCUCCAAACAGUAUAAAAAGGAUUUGAUCCGACUUGUAUCGAGGCACCCCAUGCUCUGGCAGACCAAUGACCCAUUCUAUAAUAAUAGAAGAAAGAUUGCCGGAGCAUGGGGGGAAAUAGCCAGGCAUCUGGCGACCACCGUGGCCAGAUGCCAGAAAGUUUGGCACCAGCUCCGGUACAAGUACCGAGCGAUCAGGGUACGUGAGCUGGCAGCGAUAAAAGAAACAGGAUGCAAUGGCAUUGCUAUAGGCCAAUGGGCUUUCUGCGGGAAACAGUUCAUGAGUCGCUGAGAGCGAAUGGUGUGAUAGAACGCUCAGAAGAAAAUGUGAUGGGGCCUCCAAUUGCCUCUUCUGCGCGGUGGCCCGCAGCAGAGGGAAGGGAAUUCGCAAAAACAAGACGGUCUAUACACAAAACAAAUUAAUGAUUUUCCUGUUUUGCAAGCUUUCCUCCAAACAGUAUAAAAAGGAUUUGAUCCGACUUGUAUCGAGGCACCCCAUGCUCUGGCAGACCAAUGACCCAUUCUAUAAUAAUAGAAGAAAGAUUGCCGGAGCAUGGGGGGAAAUAGCCAGGCAUCUGGCGACCACCGUGGCCAGAUGCCAGAAAGUUUGGCACCAGCUCCGGUACAAGUACCGAGCGAUCAGGGUACGUGAGCUGGCAGCGAUAAAAGAAACAGGAUGCAAAUCCCAAUUCCCCUCCUAAGUGGCAUUGUUAUAGGCAUAUGAGUUUUCUGCGGGAAACAGUUGAUGUUUCGCUGAGAGCAAAUGGUGCGAUAGAACGCUCAGAAGAAAAUGUGAUGGGGCCUCCAAUUGCCUCUUCUACGCGGUGGCCCGCAGCAGAGGGAAGGGAAUUCGCAAAAACAAGACGGUCUAUACACAAAACAAAUUAAUGAUUUUCCUGUUUUGCAAGCUUUCCUCUAAAAAUGAAAAACGGAAACUUAUUCAACUUGUAUCGGGGCACUCCAUGCUCUGGCAGACAAAUAACAACUAUUAUAAUAAUAGGAAACAGACUGCCGGAGCAUGGGGGGAAAUAACCAGGCAUCUGGCGACCACCGUGGCCAGAUGCCAGAAAGUUUGGCACCAGCUCCGGUACAAGUACCGAGCAAUAAGGGUACGUGAGCUGGCAGCGGUCAAUAAGACAGGAUAUCCCAAUUCCCCUCCUAAGUGGCAUUGUUAUAGGCAUAUGAGUUUUCUGCGGGAAACAGUUGAUGUUUCGCUGAGAGCAAAUGGUGCGAUAGAACGCUCAGAAGAAAAUGUGAUGGGGCCUCCAAUUGCCUCUUCUACGCGGUGGCCCGCAGCAGAGGGAAGGGAAUUCGCAAAACCAUAUGCCUUCGCCUCCUAAGUGGCAUUGCUAUAGGCCAAUGAGCUUUCUGCGGGAAAUAGUUGAUGAGUCGAUGAGAGCGAAUGGUGUGAUAGAACGCUCAGAAGAAAAUGUGAUGGGGCCUCCAAUUGCCUCUUCUACGCGGUGGCCCGCAGCAGAGGGAAGGGAAUUCGCAAAAACAAGACGGUCUAUACACAAAACAAAUUAAUGAUUUUCCUGUUUUGCAAGCUUUCCUCUAAAAAUGAAAAACGGAAACUUAUUCAACUUGUAUCGGGGCACUCCAUGCUCUGGCAGACAAAUAACAACUAUUAUAAUAAUAGGAAACAGACUGCCGGAGCAUGGGGGGAAAUAACCAGGCAUCUGGCGACCACCGUGGCCAGAUGCCAGAAAGUUUGGCACCAGCUCCGGUACAAGUACCGAGCGAUCAGGGUACGUGAGCUGGCAGCGGUCAAUAAGACAGGAUAUCCCCCUUCGCCUCCUAAGUGGCAUUGCUAUAGGCCAAUGAGCUUUCUGCGGGAAAUAGUUGAUGAGUCGAUGAGAGCGAAUGGUGUGAUAGAACGCUCAGAAGAAAAUGUGAUGGGGCCUCCAAUUGCCUCUUCUACGCGGUGGCCCGCAGCAGAGGGAAGGGAAUUCGCAAAAACAAGACGGUCUAUACACAAAACAAAUUAAUGAUUUUCCUGUUUUGCAAGCUUUCCUCCAAACAGUAUAAAAAGGAUUUGAUCCGACUUGUAUCGAGGCACCCCAUGCUCUGGCAGACCAAUGACCCAUUCUAUAAUAAUAGAAGAAAGAUUGCCGGAGCAUGGGGGGAAAUAGCCAGGCAUCUGGCGACCACCGUGGCCAGAUGCCAGAAAGUUUGGCACCAGCUCCGGUACAAGUACCGAGCGAUCAGGGUACGUGAGCUGGCAGCGAUAAAAGAAACAGGAUGCAAAUCCCCCGACGUCUCCUAAGUGGCAUUGCUAUAGGCCAAUGAGCUUUCUGCGGGAAAUAGUUGAUGAGUCGAUGAGAGCGAAUGGUGUGAUAGAACGCUCAGAAGAAAAUGUGAUGGGGCCUCCAAUUGCCUCUUCUACGCGGUGGCCCGCAGCAGAGGGAAGGGAAUUCGCAAAAACAAAACGGUCUAUACACAAAACUUAAACUUGUUCUUCUUGUAUCGGGGCACCCCAUGCUCUGGCGGACUAAUGAUCCGUUUUAUAAUAAUAGAAGACAGACUGUCGGAGCAUGGGGCGAAAUAGCCAGGCAUCUGGCGACCACCGUGGCCAGAUGCCAGAAAGUUUGGCACCAGCUCCGGUACAAGUACCGUGCGAUCAGGGUACGUGAGCUGGCAGCGGUCAAAAGAAAUGGAUAUCCCAAUUCCCAUCCUACGUGGCACUGUUAUAUAUCCCAAUGAAUUUUCUGCGGGAAAUAGUUGAUCAGUCGCUGGGAGAAAAUGGUGUGAGAGAACGCUCAGAAGAAAAUGUAAUGGGGCCUCCAAUUGCCUCUUCUACGCGGUGGCCCGCAGCAGAGGGAAGGGAAUUCGCAAUAACAAGACGGUCUAUACACAAAACAAAUUAAUGAUUUUCCUGUUUUGCAAGCUUUCGUCUAAAAAGGAUAGACAGGAUAUGAUCCGACUUGUAUCGGAGCACCCCAUGUUCUGGCAGAGCGAUCAUAUAUCUUCUUUAACAAUAGUGUAAAAUGGGGGUACCAGGAGAGUAAUACGCAACGCUUUAGUUAUCGUAGUUCGAGUAAAAAAAAGGGCCUUUAUUACCUCAGCAAUUGGCUUAUGUAUGCCACUCACGGUAACUCAUGUCUUACUCGGAAAUGAUCGUAUCCGAAUUAUUGUGGUCCAGCCAGACUACGCAGUUCUAUCCACCGGGACGCGCCACUCACCGGCAGCAGUCGACGGCUGUCGUAUGAUGUGUGCGUGAAACGAUGUGCGUGAGUUCCCGGGUCGCUGACCAGAGGAGCAGAAGGGAGAAUAAGGGAGCGAAGAGAGAGAGUAUACACAUUCGUUCGGUAGAGCUAUACUAGGAUAAACGGGCCCUUUUUAGUAUUAGGAAUAGGGAAUAAAGAUUUUAUAGUAAUGUGUGUGUCGAUGCAUAUAAGUCUUGGUUGUUGUUUUAAUUGUUUUAACACCCGUGCAUCAGACACAAAACGAAUCAUAACGAAUAGUUGACUCGGAAAUGAUUGUAUCCGAAUACUAACGAAAAGAGUGUUGCACACUAUCACAAUAGAAGACAGACUGUCGGGGUAUGGGGGGAGUAGCCCAUCGACUGACCAUGGCAGUGGCUAGUUGCCAAAAAGUAUGGCACCAGCUCCGGUACAAGUACCGCUUAAUCAGGAUACGUGAGCGGUCAAUAAGACUGGAUGUCCCGUUACGCCUAUUAAGUGGCACUGCUACAGGCCGAUGAAUUUUCUGCGGGCAACCGUAGAUGCCUCGCUGGCUGACAAUGACCUAGUAUGUAUAUAAAACAGUUGAACUUCACACAGUUGAAUUAAAACACAAAUUAGAUUCGGCACGGUUUGUUUUGGGUUUGGUUGCCAAGCCCCGUCCAUUCUUGCACAUGUGAACUUUCAUGCACCUAGUGUUAACUUUCGUGCACCAGUAAUGUUAGUGUGAGCAAACUCAAAUCACUCUUGCGAAGCGCAUUUUUGUUUAGGUGACAAACGUGGUAUUACCCUUGAUGAAAUGACAGAAGAAUGCAAACGUCUACCCACUUUAAGCCAUGAUGAUGCUAUGAUAAACGCCGAUAAAACAGUCAGUGUAGUACGAGGUCAGCAAAGCUAUAGACCAUAUUCCAAAACACCAAAUAACACUAAGCAUGAGAGCAAGGCCGAGUCCUCGAUUAAGUGUUGGUUGUGCGGUGAAGGGCAUCAUGCCAGGAGAUGUCCACAUAAAAGUCACCAUUGUCGUAAAUGACGUCGGUACGGCCACAUGGACGGAUUUUGUAACUCCGCUUUAAGAUGGUCCAACGGUGGGAGGUAAAAGAGCAAAAGAACUGUUUGGAUAAACAGCAUUUCGAAUUUUAAACGUAGCCUGGUGAAUGUUAUUUUAAAUGAGAUGCCAACUCGGAUGAUGAUCGAUUCUGGUGCCGACGUAACCCUAAUAUCGAAAAAGCAUUGGUAGGAUAUGGGUAAACCGGCGAUGACACAACCUGACGUUAAAGCCAAAACAGUAUCCGGAGAUCCUCUGCACAUUUUAGGCGAGAUCCAAUGUAUGAUGAGCAUAGGGCAGCAGCCUUACGCGCUUAGUGUGUGCGACAGUUGUGUAUAUGGUACGUGUUGUGAACGCUGAUUUACUGGUGUUAGCUGCGGAUGCUAUGGAGAUUUUUGGUUUGUGGGAUGUUCCGUUAUCAUCAAUUUGUCGGCGAGUCGAUGUCGGCGAUGAGAGCAUGGGGCUCUUAGAACAUCAUAUCCGGAGUUAUUUGCUGAUAGGCUCGG